CGUACACUCCUACGGGAGGCAGCAGUGGGGAAUAUUGGACAAUGGGCGCAAGCCUGAUCCAGCCAUGCCGCGUGAGUGAUGAAGGCCCUAGGGUUGUAAAGCUCUUUCACCGGUGAAGAUAAUGACGGUAACCGGAGAAGAAGCCCCGGCUAACUUCGUGCCAGCAGCCGCGGUAAUACGAAGGGGGCUAGCGUUGUUCGGAUUUACUGGGCGUAAAGCGCACGUAGGCGGACUAUUAAGUCAGGGGUGAAAUCCCGGGGCUCAACCCCGGAACUGCCUUUGAUACUGGUAGUCUUGAGUUCGAGAGAGGUGAGUGGAAUUCCGAGUGUAGAGGUGAAAUUCGUAGAUAUUCGGAGGAACACCAGUGGCGAAGGCGGCUCACUGGCUCGAUACUGACGCUGAGGUGCGAAAGCGUGGGGAGCAAACAGGAUUAGAUACCCCUGUAGUCCCAU
rnacentral:rRNA from 1 species